rnacentral:rRNA from 1 species
CCUACGGGUGGCAGCAGUGAGGAAUAUUGGUCAAUGGACGAGAGUCUGAACCAGCCAAGUAGCGUGAAGGAUGACUGCCCUAUGGGUUGUAAACUUCUUUUAUAUGGGAAUAAAAUGUUCCACGUGUGGGAUUUUGUAUGUACCAUAUGAAUAAGGAUCGGCUAACUCCGUGCCAGCAGCCGCGGUAAUAAGGAGGAUCCGAGCGUUAUCCGGAUUUAUUGGGUUUAAAGGAAGCGUAGGUGGAUUGUUAAGUCAGUUGUGAAAGUUUGCGGCUCAACCGUAAAAUUGCAGUUGAAACUGGCAGUCUUGAGUACAGUAGAGGUGGGCGGAAUGCGUGGUGUAGCGGUGAAAUGCUUAGAUAUCACGAAGAACUCCGAUUGCGAAGGCAGUUCACUGGACUGCAACUGACACUGAGGCUCGAAAGUGUGGGUAUCAAACAGGAUUAGCUACCCCGGUAGUC